UGAGGAACAUGACCUUCGGCGGGGGAUAGCCGGCCCAACGGCCGGGUAAUACCGCGUACGACCACAUGGGGACAUCCCUGAGUGGUGAAAGCAGCAAUGCGCCGAUGGAGUGCCUCGCGGCCUAUCAGCUAGUUGGUGAGGUAACGGCUCACCAAGGCGACGACGGGUAGCUGGUCUGAGAGGAUGGCCAGCCACAUUGGGACUGAGACACGGUCCAGACCUCUACGGGAG
rnacentral:rRNA from 1 species